UAGACAAAAAGGGUCGAGAGGCAGGGCA
rnacentral:piRNA from 1 species